rnacentral:rRNA from 1 species
GUGUCAGCAGCCGCGGUAAGACGGAGGAGGCGAGCGUUAUCCGGAUUUACUGGGCGUCAAGGGCGCGUAGGCGGCUUGACAGGUCGUGGGUGAAAGCCCCGGGCUCAACCCGGGGAGGUCCUGCGAUACCAUCAGGCUUGAGGAUCGUAGAGGGGGGCGGAAUUCCCGGUGGAGCGGUGGAAUGCGUAGAUAUCGGGAGGAACACCCGAGGCGAAGGCGGCCCCCUGGGCGACACCUGACGCUGAGGCGCGAAAGCGUGGGGAGCAAAGCGGAUUAGAAACCCUGGUAGUCC